GAUGAAGAAGUAGCGAAAUGCGAUACUUGGUGUGAAUUGCAGAAUCCCGCGAAUCAUCGAGUUUUUGAACGCAAGUUGCGCCCGAAGCCAUUCGGCCGAGGGCACGUCUGCCUGGGUGUCACGCAUCGUUGCCCCCCCAAACUCCGGUUCGGGCGGGGCGGAAGUUGGCCUCCCGUGCGUGCCUGCGCGCGCGGUUAGCCCAAAAGCGAGUCCUCGGCGAUGAGCGCCACGACAAUCGGUGGUUUUUUUACCCUCGUUCCUCGUCGUGCGUGCCCCGUCGCCCGAACGCGCUCUUGCAACCCUUACGCGUCGCCUCGGUGGCGCUCCCAACGCGACCCCAGGUCAGGCGGGACUACCCGCUGAGUUUAAGCAUAUCAAUAAGCGGAGGA
rnacentral:misc_RNA from 1 species